UAAGACGUAGGGGGCGAGCGUUGUCCGGAAUCAUUGGGCGUAAAGAGCGCGCAGGCGGCUUGGUAAGUCGGACGUGAAAACCCGAGGCUCAACCUCGGGCGUGCAUCCGAUACUGCCCGGCUAGAGGUAGGUAGGGGAGAUCGGAAUUCCUGGUGUAGCGGUGAAAUGCGCAGAUAUCAGGAGGAACACCGGUGGCGAAGGCGGAUCUCUGGGCCUUACCUGACGCUCAGGCGCGAAAGCUAGGGGAGCGAACAGGAUUAGAUACCCUGGUAGUCCUAGCCGUAAACGUUGGGUGCUAGGUGUGGGCGGAUAUCGACCCCGUCCGUGCCGAAGCUAACGCAUUAAGCACCCCGCCUGGGGAGUACGGCCGCAAGGCUA
rnacentral:rRNA from 1 species